rnacentral:lncRNA from 12 species
CUUAUUUCUCAGGUACUUCUGGAGGCCUUGAAGGAUUGUUUGGACUGUCAUGAGGCUGCUACAACUGAGUUUUAAGGUUCAAAACCAAGCCCAGAGCUACCUUUUCACCAAAAUUAAGGAGCCUCUCCAAUAGGUACGUUAUUAGAUGUUUGAUGCAAAUAAUGA